rnacentral:lncRNA from 1 species
UUUAGACUGAUCCAGUGGAGGAUCAUUGAAAAGCUGUGAAAAAUAUUCUGAAGUAUCUAAGAAGGACUAAAGAUAUUUUUCUCAUAUAUGGAGGAGGAUCAGAGUUGAAACUACAGGAAUAUACAGAUUUUAGUUUUUAAUCUGAUCUGGAUGAUAGCAAGUCAAUAUCUGGGUACAUGUUUACUCUUAAUAGUGGGACAGUG